rnacentral:rRNA from 1 species
UACGUAGGAGGCAAGCGUUGUCCGGAAUUACUGGGCGUAAAGCGCGUGUAGGUGGUGGGACAAGUCUGCUGUGAAAGCGCCUGGCUUAACCGGGCGAGGUCGGCGGAAACUGUCGCACUCGAGGACGGUAGAGGGGGGUGGAAUUCCCGGUGUAGUGGUGAAGUGCGUAGAGAUCGGGAGGAACACCUGUGGCGAAGGCGGCCCCCUGGGCCGGCCCUGACACUGAGACGCGAAGGCGUGGGGAGCGAACGGG